UCUCUCUCUCACUCUCACUCUCACUCUGUUCUUCAACAGAAGCAAAGAAACCCACCCGACGCUCCUCCCCGUCUCAACCCCCCCACCUUCCCUCUCUAUCUCUAUCUCAAUCUCUUUCUCUCUCUCUCGCUCUCGCUCUCGCUCUCUCUCUUUCACUCUCUGUUCUUCUUCUUGAACAGAAGUCCACCCUCUCUAUCACAACCGACGCUCCUCCUCCUCCUUCGUCACGUCCCUCUUCAUCAACCGUUCGAUUUCAAUUCUCUUCAUCGACACCCACCCUCUUCGCUACCGACGCUCCUCCUCCUCCUUGGUCACGCUCAUCUUCAUCGCAAGGUAUUUGGAUUGCUUUAAAACAAUUCUCCGAAAAACACCAUUUCGGUUACAGAGCUCUCUGUAUAUACCGCUUUGCAUUGAUCUAUUUGGCAAGAGCAUUGGCUGCUCCGGAUCAGACCAUCCAAAUGGAACACCAGGCCAUAAGAAUUAUGGGUUGAGUGUUCUUCAGCAACAUGUGGCCUUUUUUGACAUGGACGACAAUGGAAUCAUUUACCCUUGGGAGACAUAUACUGGGCUACGUGCAAGUGGUUUCAGCAUGAUUGCAUCUCUUAUAAUGGCUAUUGGUAUUAAUGGAGCUUUGAGUUACCCUACUCUUCCCGUUAUAUAUUAAAUAGAAAAAACAAUCUGCUCUAUUCUGUUCACCGGUAGCUAAUAUGGAGAAGGAUUUUGAUUCAAAGCUAAGGAUUGAGAGCAAUUCUUCCAAUGGAGGAAACAUACCCAAAUCUAAGAGCUUUGAAUUGGGCAGUAUCUAUGGCAUUGGUUCUUAUUCCAAGGUCUCAUUUUUCUUCAUCAUAUUUAAUUUUUUUACUGUAUUUAUUUAUUUAUUAUUAUUAUUGUGAAUUAAUUUGAUAUAUGUUGAUUUAUUAUGGUGUUUUGAUGAUUUAUGUUCAUUAGAGGUUAAUUUGAAUGUCAUGUUUCAUCUAUCUUUUUAGGCUUAGUUUAGAUUGUUUAUGGGUCAUUUAAAUUGGGUUUGAUACAGUUAUUAUUAGAAUUCCAUUUUCUCAAACCCACAAUUUUUUGAAUCAAUCUAAUACAUUUUAUUUGAAUUCUAUUCUCUACAAUUAAUUCCAUUCUCAUCUCAUUCUCUCUUGCGCGGGUCUCUUACAGGUCAUUUGUUUAUUAAACCCAUCCAAGCACCAAGAACUUUGUUCUCCACCCGACAUAUAACCGGAUCUAUAUUUGAACUGGUAGUUUAUUUGGGUUUGGGUUUGUGAUUUUCGUUCGACAUAUAACUGGAGAAUCAACGCAAGUGUAUAGUGGGGUUUUAAUUGUUGUGUGACUUGCAUCUAUUUCAAAGCAUUUAAUAUUAGCCAUACUUGAUCUAAUAAACGGAAUGGAACCACAAGAAGGUAUUGGGUCAUAUAUGUAAAUGACAUUGUAAUUCGAACCAAUCUUUUUACAACAGACCUGUGUUAUAAAAAAGUCUUCAGGAACACGUAGAUUAAUUAUUUUCUAGAUGAACAUUAUUAGCUAAAAAUACAAAAAAUCGGUUUUUAACCAACUUUUCAAAACAACUCAUAAUUAUUAGGAUUGGUUAGAAUAAGUGUACAUUAAGUUUAAAGUAUUUUCGGGUGCAAAGCCAGUACCAGUGUUUGAUUUUGGAUUUUUGAAUGGAUUAAUUAUUUUUUUGCUGCUCAAUUACUCUGCAGCAGAGCGCGUCCCAAACACGCUAAUUUAGCUUCGUAUCCAGGUAAUCGUCUACUUACUUAUAGGCUUUUCUUCUUCUUUUUCUUCUUCUUCUUCUUCUUCUUCUUCUUUUAUUUUUAUUUAUUUAUUUUUUUCUUAUGUUAAUUAUAAGCAUAUGUUAAAGUUUGGUAGGCUUAUAUGCCACCAAACUGGGUUCCAUUUUUUUAAAAAAAAACUUGGUGGGUUUGGAUUCGGAUUAGCAUUCUUUAUUUGUUUAUUUAUUUUUAAAUUGAAUGUCUAAAUCUAGGAAAUCACUAUCCUCAAUUGGGAUAGUAAUCCCAUUAUUUAAUGUUAAUGUUAAUGUUAUCAUACACUUGAGCCACACCAAAUCACAGAAAUAUCCACCAAUCCCAUUUUGAUUUAUGGGUGGAAAAUUGGUGGGUUAGGCGUUUUCCACCCAUAAAUCACAAUACCGGCCCGAAAGUAAACCCCCCCUCUCUCUCUCUAAAAUGUGGAUUAGAUUAUCAUAUUAUAUAACGCUCUUUGCAACCGAUUAAGUUUUUUGGGUUUGUAACGGAGGAUUCAGAUCUUGCUGCUGAAAAGAAAUCAGGCGAUCCAACUGACAGAGGUAUUAAAAAAUAAAAAUAGAACAUUUCUGAUUACUCUCAGACUGUUUCCAAAGGCCCAAUUUACUCUUUGCUCAUAUCAAAUUUUGUACCUUUUUUUAUUUUAUUAGUUAUGUCAUGAAUUGUAAACUCUUCUUAAUUCCUCAAUUUCACGUAUGCAAUCUCAUCCCUCAAAGAGAGAGAGAGAGAGUUUUUCAAUGCUAUCCAUGAAUUUUUAAAUUAAGCUUUUGUGCCUAGGGUUUUAAAAGUUACAAAAACAUGUUGUAGAUUGAAAUUGAUGUGAUAACUGACCAGUAGAUAUUGGAACUUGCAAGUAUAUAUAUUUGGUUUCUGUUUUUCAAUUUCCUUUUGUCGCUGUUGUAUUCGGUCGAACUCGCACUUGCACUCGCAAGGUAAUUUCAGUAUUCUCUCCUCUCCUCUUUCGAACUCGGCUGUUGUAUGGCUGACGGCUAUUUUUGUUUUUGGCUGGGUUUGUUUGUCGUGUAUUACUUGGGACAUAACAAGCAUCUUUUAUGGUUGUUUAAAUUCGACUCAACCGAGAGAUCAUCAGUUACACUUUGGGGAGAAUCGAUGGUCGUCACAAAUCUAAGAAGUGCGACUCUGCCAUUUGGCAUUGUAUUACACUACUCUGCCUUUUCCCAAUUUAACCUCUCAGGUCAUCAAUUUAUGGGUUUUCGAUAUAAUCGAAGUAGGCAGGUCAAUUAAUUGGUUCGAGGCAAAGGUGGUGUUGGGUAUGAGGGAUAGAAAUUCAAAGAGCAUGAUCAUCCAAAAAAGGAUCUUCACACAAGUAAUGGAUACAUAUGUCUAUUCUUACUUCAUCAUUGAAUGACAUAAUUCAGUUGACCAUAAUAGGUGACUAAUCCAUAUUAGAAACGUUGGGUUACAUUGCUUCUACAUGUGUGUCGUUGGUUGGCUCUCUCAUUCUAAACAAAAUGAUUAAUUUUUCUUUUUGGGUUAGCUAGGAUGAUUGUUUUGUACCAAAAUGUUCAUUGACCUUUAUUUGAAGGCAUUGAAAUUUGAUAAAGCAAAAACGAUACUAAUUCAAUAAUAUUUUUUUAUUGAAGGUUAUCCCAUUCUAA